GGGUGCAUAGGUUGGUGUGUGUAAGCAGGCGUGUCUUCAGACACAGGAAAGAGGUACCGUCCUAAGCCCACCGGUGGUCACCAGGCCCGCUGGAGGGAGAGAAGGGACACAGCCAGGUUACUGUGAAUUAACUCCACAGGGCUGUUGGACAGUUGAUCUGAUUUCUGCUGGAUAAACGUGGUGACUGCGAAGAUGUUUUUCUGCAUCCCACGGCUGACACCUGGGUACAUCAGAUACUUGAAGGAAGAAGUGGUUCUGACAGUCGCUCAAGUAAGAUGGAAGACCGUUCUCCAGAAUGUUGACUCAGGCUGUCCAGACGAGGCUGAAGAGACGGGAAGUCCCCAUUAUUCACCGGAUUGCCAUGUUUCUAGGGCUGAUGGGAAUUGGGAUGUCCGGUGUUUUCACAGGAAAGAGCAAAUUCACUGUAUCCAAAGUUCCUCAAGGAGAGAGAAAAUCUUAAUUGUAGUAUCUUGGAACUCAGCAGUCUAAGCAGAGAUGCCCAGACUUCCCUCUCCCCAGACACUUCCUCCAGCUCUUCCGGGGGGACACCGAGGUGUUCCCAGGCCAGCCGGGAGACAUAGUCCCUCCAGCGUGUUCUAGGUCUUCCCCGGGGUCUCCUCCCGGUGGGACGGGACCGGAACACCUUCCCAGGAAGGCGUUCCGGAGGCAUCCGAAACAGAUGCCCAAGCCACCUCAGCUGACCCCUCUCGAUGUGGAGGAGCAGCGGCUCUACUCUGAGCUCCUCCCGGGUGACCGAGCUUCUCACCCUAUCUCUAAGGGAUCGCCCAGCCACCCUACGGAGAAAGCUCAUUUCGGCCGCCUGUAUCCAGGAUCUUGUCCUUUCGGUCAUUUAUUUUUUCACUUACAAACAAAUCAUGCUCCACACUUGCAUAGCAAAUGCUCAACUAUGAGAACCAAGGGCUUUUCGAAAGAGCUAAGGUACAAAGUUGUGGAAAAGAAAGACCAUGAAUAUCUCUUUGAACAUGUUGAAGAUAAUUAAGAAGUGGAAUGUAUAUGGCAUCACCCAAACCCUAACUAAAUCAAGCCGCCCUUCAAAAUACAUAACGAAUAUAUGACAAAGGAAGUUGGUGACUAUUCAGAGAGGUUAUCAAAAGGUCAAUGGCAACUGUGACUGAACUUUUGUGGCCAAAACUGGGAACGUGCAAAUCUGACAACAAUUUCCCAACUGUAUUUGGUGUGAAAUCGCGAGCCAGUUAGCAGUCUGAGCUGUUAGCAUUUCAAUUGGUUAUGUGCUCUAAAACCAAAUAGUUGUUUCCCUUGUCAAAUAAGGGCCACAUAAUUUGUGGGGUAAUGGUAACAAUGCUUUGUGGAGGACAGUUUUCAUUGUGUUCUGGAGGACCUCUGGUUCAUGUAGGACAGUGUAGAAAGUGAGACAUUGACCCAGAUCGCUCAGUGAGGGUCUGCCAGUUAUGCCAUGGAUGUUGUUGAAAAGGAUGAGGUCAAAGGGGGGUGAGUGUCUAACUGGUGUGAAAAGUCUAGCCAUUUAGUGUGAAUGCUGUUCAAUCGGUUUAGCAAAGGCAUUCAAGUAGUUGUUUCCCGUAGUUUUUGCGGUGUGAUGAUAACUAUGUUUGUGGUGUUUCCUUUUUUGGGGUCAUUGUGUUCACAUGGCUUCUGGUGUGUUCCCAAGCAGGGGGCAGUAAGGCAGUGCUAGAAGCAACUGUUACACAAGUACUCCAGACUGUAUGGCAGGGUGGCAAGAAAGAAGCCAUUUUAUACAGAAACAAGAGGUAGAGAGGUGGAAAAACUCAAAGGAUAAACCGCUGGGACUAGGUGAGGUGGUGUCGACAGGGUUGCCUCAUGGUGGCAGUUUUGGAUGGGAUUGGGAUGGUUAAUCAGGGAUGGCAUCUGCUCCCUCUCCUCUCCGGGCCUUUGUUCCUCCUCUGUGGACUAGGACUGUGGGUCACAAUUUACAGCCAAAC
ensembl:lncRNA